UGUAAUCCGGUGUUAUGUGGCAUAUUAUGUUUUGGUCAUAAGGGAAAUUAGUAGUUGAUUACAG
rnacentral:tRNA from 1 species